rnacentral:rRNA from 1 species
GAUGAACGCUGGCGGCGUGCCUAACACAUGCAAGUCGAGCGAUUCUCUUCGGAGAAGAGCGGCGGACGGGUGAGUAACGCGUGGGUAACCCGCCCUGUACACACGGAUAACAUACCGAAAGGUAUGCUAAUACGAGAUAAUAUGCUUUUGUCGCAUGGUAGAAGUAUCAAGGCUCCGGCGGUACAGGAUGGACCCGCGUCUGAUUAGCUAGUUGGUAAGGUAACGGCUUACCAAGGAGACGAUCAGUAGCCGACCUGAGAGGGUGAUCGGCCACAUUGGAACUGAGACACGGUCCAAACUCCUACGGGAGGCAGCAGUGGGGAAUAUUGCACAAUGGGCGAAAGCCUGAUGCAGCAACGCCGCGUGAGCGAUGAAGGCCUUCGGGUCGUAAAGCUCUGUCCUCAAGGAAGAUAAUGACGGUACUUGAGGAGGAAGCCCCGGCUAACUACGUGCCAGCAGCCGCCGUAA